GCCCCAAAAUUGGAAUGGCAAGCUACUGAUUUUGAAUGCAUUUAAUCUUACCUGUAAGAAAACAGGUUCGAUUUAACAUAUUAACAACUUAUGGCUGCGAAAUUUAACACUUCAACACGGGGAUUGAAAAUCCCCGUGUCGGUGGUUCGAUUCCGCCUUCGGGCACCA
rnacentral:tRNA from 1 species